UAGUCGUAAACAAGGUUUCCGUAGGUGAACCUGCGGAAGGAUCAUUAUUGAAUAAACUUGGUCAAGCUGCUGCUGGUCCUUCGGGACAUGUGCACGCUUGCCACCAACUUUAACCACCUGUGCACCUUUUGUAGACUGGGAACAACUCUCGAGGUAACUCGGUGUGAGGAUUGCUGUGCGAAAGCCGGCUGUCUUUGUGUUUUUCAGUCUAUGUUUUAUAUACCCCAUAGCAUGUAUAAGAAUGUAUUGACAGGCCUCAGUGCCUAUAAACCUAAUACAACUUUCAACAACGGAUCUCUUGGCUCUCGCAUCGAUGAAGAACGCAGCGAAAUGCGAUAAGUAAUGUGAAUUGCAGAAUUCAGUGAAUCAUCGAAUCUUUGAACGCACCUUGCGCUCCUUGGUAUUCCGAGGAGCAUGCCUGUUUGAGUGUCAUUAAAUUCUCAACCAUACGAGUUUGUAUGAACUUUGUAUGGCUUGGAUCAUGGGAUUUGCGGGCUUGAAUUAGUCGGCUCUCCUGAAAGGCAUUAGCAGAACUUUUGUUGCUAAUCUCUGGUGUGAUAACUAUCUACGCCAUUGUGAGGUGACAUGCUAAGGAACUGCUUACAAUCGUCUUUGCAGACAACCUUGACAAUCUGACCUCAAAUCAGGUAGGACUACCCGCUGAACUUAAGCAUAUCAAUAAGCGGAGGAAAAGAAACUAACAAGGAUCCCCCUAGUAACUGCGAGUGAAGGGGGAAAA
rnacentral:rRNA from 1 species